CCUUGUGUAGUUUGCGCCGCGGAGCCCAGACCCUUCCCUUCAGCCCGCACCCGUACCCGCACCCAGCGCUAAAAGCUUUCUGCCUCAGGCCUCUACUCCAUUAGCUGUACGUUACGCUCCUUCACAUCUGGGGUGCUCACUUCGUCGCCCCUUCUCACCGUCCUAAGGGUGACCCUUUUCUAUUCAGGCUCACUGACACCUGCGGCUGAAGACUCUGGGUUUUUUCCUCAAGACAUCUCUGAUGCUGGGUAGUCAACAGUUAGGAAGUUUCCUCGGCGGUUCUUUGAGCUCUGGACUUAAAGAACGAUAGAUGUCCAGUUUUCUUGGGUUGUGAGUCCGUGUCUGCCAGGGUAAGGGAUGGGUUAGCCAGAACACUUGUCAAGCAGACCAUGGCUUGGUUAAGAGAGCGUAUUUACCGGCUAGAAGUCAAGGACAGCCAAACAUAACAGGUGAAAUUAAUUUUAGUAAUUAUAUUUUACUUCGUACCAUAUAUUCAGAGUACCACCACUUCACACGUACUCAGUAUACAGAAUAUUAAUACGAUUUUUUUUAUUGUUUUAAAGAUUUUGUGGCCGGCGCUGCGGCUCACUAGGGUAAUCCUCCGCCUGCGGCGCUGGCACACCGGGUUCUAGUCCCGGUCGGGGAGCCGGAUUCUGUCCCGGUUGCCCCUCUUCCAGGCCAGCUCUCUGCUGUGGCCCGGGAGUGCAGUGGAGGAUGGCCCAGGUGCUUGGGCCCUGCACCCCAUGGGAGACCAGGAUAAGUACCUGGCUCCUGGCUUCAGAUCAGCGCGGUGCGCCGGUCGCAGCACGCUGGCCACAACGGCCAUUGAGCGGUGAACCAAUGGAAAAGGAAGACCUUUCUCUCUGUCUCUCUCUCUCACUGUCCACUCUGCCUGUCAAAAAAAAAUUAAAAAAAAAAGAUUUUGUUUAUUUAUUUGAGAGGCAGAGUUAUGGAGAGAAAGGUCCACCUGUUCACUCCCCAAAUGCCUGCAGUGGCCGGAGCUGGGCUGAUACAAGGCCAAGGAGCCAGGAGCUUCCUCCUGGUCUCCAACACGGGUGCAGGGGCCCAAGCACUUGGACCAUGUUCCAUUGCUUUCCCAGGCCAUUAACAGAGCUGGAUAGGAAGAGGAGUAGCUGGGACCUGAACUGGCACCUAUAUGGGUUGCUGGCACUGCAGGUAGAUGCUUAGCCUACCAUGCCACAGUGCUGGCCCUGAUUUUUUAUUUUUUACAUUAAGUCUUAGAAAUAUGGUUUGUUUUUUACACUUAAAGCACAUAUGUAUAUCAGUUUGGACUAAUUACGUUGUGAGUGUUCAGUUACAUGUGGCUAAUGAACAGCUCUGGGGUAGACCAAGAACUAGUCAUAGAAAUGAAUCUAGUGCCAAGUUGUACUGAAGAAACAGACUGUAAAAAAUAAUUACUGAUUUUUGUGGGCCUCCUGUGUGUUAGGAACUGUGUUAGACAUUUUACAUUGUUAUUUGUUUCUUGCAAAAGCAUUACAUGGUGGACACCUUUUUUAAAAUUUUUAAAAUUUAGGAAGGUAAACGUCUGCUCUAAGGAGCAGACAGCUGGGCGCGCACAUUCGUAGCAGAAGGAAACCAUCUGGAACUGGGGCCGACCGUGCUGGCCGACGCGAAGCAUGUGUGCGCCCGCACCAGGAUUGCUCUGUGUCCCCACAGAUGAAUGAUGUCAGGCUGGGAAUUCCCUCCACAGGGAUCUGGCCUGAUUGAGAUGCAGUUCUACAAAUGCGUAUGUUUGUCUCAUCUUUUUGUAUAGUUUAUUAAAGUAUUAAUAUAGUUUUAAUAAGUAAAUAUUUGUAGGUUGCAAAACUGACUCCUCAUCUUUAUAUACUUACACACACACACACACACACACACACUCACCCAAAAACACCUCGGAAUAUGAAGAAAAUAAAUAAAGGCUGCGUACUCAGUGCUGUCAGUGUCACAUCUUUCAGCCUCUGAAAUAUUGAUCAUUGUUAAUUUGUUCUCAUUUCUAAGUAAUAAAUUGCAUUGUAUUUGUUCAAAAAAAAAAA